GCCCGACUAGCUCAGUGGUUUAGAGCGUCGCACUCGUAUCUGCGAAAUGCGAAGGCCCACGGUUCAACUCCGUGGUUGGGCA